rnacentral:pre_miRNA from 1 species
GUUGUACUCCCUCCGUCCCAAAAUUCUUGUCUUAGAUUUGUCUAAAUACGGAUGUAUCAAGUCAUAUUUUAGUAUUAGAUACAUCCGUAUCUAGACAAAUGUAAGACAAGAAUUUUGGGACGGAGGUAGUAGUAC